AGACAGUGAUUCCCUGCAGUUAGUUUUCAUAUGUCCAAACUACUAUCGAAAUCCCUUGAUUGGUUUAAGGAUGCAUCUCAUUUAGAACCUGAUCUAAUUUUGUUUGACGGUUGUUAUGACAUGAGUACACUUUUCCAUUUCAUUUAUUAUUUUUUAAUUGCACAAGAAACACACUUCAGAGGUGUUUGAGUUCACAUGUGUUACUUGAUGUUGUGGACAGAGGCCAUAGUGCAGUGGGAUAGUCAGUGGAAAGUGGAGAAUAUUAACAGGGAAUGUAGAAAACUCUUUAUGGAACUUUGAAUGUAAAGAAAAAGAAACCAAGAAAGAGGAGGAGACAAAGAGAGAAAGAAAGAGAGCAAUAAAGAGAGACAGAAGAGAUAUCUCCAUCAUGUGGCUGCAAUGGAUGCUGGAGGCAGCAGGUGGCUGAAAUCCUGGUGUGAUGUGGCUGGAUAAUACAUGGCCUGAGGACUCCUGCAUUGAUGACUGCAGGAUGGGUCCAGAAUUUUCCU
rnacentral:lncRNA from 10 species